AGUGAACGCUGGCGGUAGGCCUAACACAUGCAAGUCGAACGGCAGCACAGUAAGAGCUUGCUCUUACGGGUGGCGAGUGGCGGACGGGUGAGGAAUACAUCGGAAUCUACUUUUUCGUGGGGGAUAACGUAGGGAAACUUACGCUAAUACCGCAUACGACCUACGGGUGAAAGCAGGGGAUCUUCGGACCUUGCGCGAUUGAAUGAGCCGAUGUCGGAUUAGCUAGUUGGCGGGGUAAAGGCCCACAAGGCGACGAUCCGUAGCUGGUCUGAGAGGAUGAUCAGCCACACUGGAACUGAGACACGGUCCAGACUCCUACGGGAGGCAGCAGUGGGGAAUAUUGGACAAUGGGCGCAAGCCUGAUCCAGCCAUACCGCGUGGGUGAAGAAGGCCUUCGGGUUGUAAAGCCCUUUUGUUGGGAAAGAAAAGCAGCAGGCUAAUACCCCGCUGUUCUGACGGUACCCAAAGAAUAAGCACCGGCUAACUUCGUG
rnacentral:rRNA from 1 species